GGUGGGAUGAAGCUUUGGCAUUAAUAACUGCAUCUAUUUAUUAAAGGUGCGGUUCAGUAAUGUGUAAAGUGCUUGACUAUCCCUUUGGCACAGUGGGAAGGCGGUCGGAUUUGGGAUGUUCCGUUUCCUCUCCAGUGCUGGGCAGCUAAUGCCGGGGCGAGGUGCAUCCCACAUUACUUAAGGACAGUUCAAGACUGAAGUGAAGAUGCCGCAUAAGAUAAACUAACUGUAGACCACCAGCAGCCUGAUGCCCACAAAUGUUGCAGUUCCUGAGCUUUCAAGGCUGACUGACGACCUGAUGAAAAGCCUUACUCCUUGAUGUCCAUCAAU